rnacentral:rRNA from 1 species
UACGUAGGGGGCAAGCGUUGUCCGGAAUUACUGGGCGUAAAGCGCACGUAGGCGGAUUUGUAAGUCAGGGGUGAAAUCCCGGGGCUCAACCUCGGAACUGCCUUUGAUACUGCAAAUCUCGAGUCCGGAAGAGGUGAGUGGAAUUCCUAGUGUAGAGGUGAAAUUCGUAGAUAUUAGGAAGAACACCAGUGGCGAAGGCGGCUCACUGGUCCGGUACUGACGCUGAGGUGCGAAAGCGUGGGGAGCAAACAGG